rnacentral:rRNA from 1 species
AUACGAAGGGAGCAAGCGUUAUUCGGAAUUACUGGGCGUAAAGGGCGUGUAGGCGGUUUGUUGAGUCAGUUGUUAAAGGCCAUGGCUUACCCAUGGAAAUGCAAUUGAUACUGGCAGACUAAGAGGGCAAGAGAGAGAAGUGGAAUUCUCGGAGUAGCGGUAAAAUGCGUAGAUCUCGAGAGGAACACCGAUAGCGAAGGCAGCUUCUUGGCUUGUACCUGACGCUGAGGCGCGAAAGCGUGGGGAGCAAACAGAAUUAGAAACCCCAGUAGUCC